GACGAACGCUGGCGGCGUGCUUAACACAUGCAAGUCGAACGGAAAGGCCCUGCUUUUGUGGGGUGCUCGAGUGGCGAACGGGUGAGUAACAUGUGAGUAACCUGCCCUUGACUUUGGGAUAACUUCAGGAAACUGGGGCUAAUACCGGAUAGGAGCUCCUGCUGCAUGGUGGGGGUUGGAAAGUUUCGGCGGUUGGGGAUGGACUCGCGGCUUAUCAGCUUGUUGGUGGGGUAGUGGCUUACCAAGGCUUUGACGGGUAGCCGGCCUGAGAGGGUGACCGGCCACAUUGGGACUGAGAUACGGCCCAGACUCCUACGGGAGGCAGCAGUGGGGAAUAUUGCACAAUGGGCGGAAGCCUGAUGCAGCAACGCCGCGUGCGGGAUGACGACCUUCGGGUUGUAAACCGCUUUCGCCUGUGACGAAGCGUGAGUGACGGUAAUGGGUAAAGAAGCACCGGCUAACUACGUG
rnacentral:rRNA from 1 species